GACGAACGCUGGCGGCGUGCUUAACACAUGCAAGUCGAACGGAAAGGCCCUGCUUUUGUGGGGUGCUCGAGUGGCGAACGGGUGAGUAACACGUGAGUAACCUGCCCUUGACUUUGGGAUAACUUCAGGAAACUGGGGCUAAUACCGGAUAGGAGCUCCUGCUGCAUGGUGGGGGUUGGAAAGUUUCGGCGGUUGGGGAUGGACUCGCGGCUUAUCAGCUUGUUGGUGGGGUAGUGGCUUACCAAGGCUUUGACGGGUAGCCGGCCUGAGAGGGUGACCGGCCACAUAGGGACUGAGGUACGGCCCAGACUCCUACGGGAGGCAGCAGUGGGGAAUAUUGCACAAUGGGCGGAAGCCUGAUGCAGCAACGCCGCGUGCGGGAUGACGGCCUUCGGGUUGUAAACCGCUUUCGCCUGUAACGAAGCGUGAGUGACGGUAAUGGGUAAAGAAGCACCGGCUAACUACGUG
rnacentral:rRNA from 1 species